UUGAAGGAGCUUGACCAAAAUUCUUCUUCCCCAGUCCAGGCAUUCCAACAGUUGAUAACAUCUAGAUCUGCCAAUCCUUUGUAUUUUUGUUCUUCUGUUUUUCACAUGACAUCUUCAAAACCCACUAUGAGCUUCAUUAUGAGCUAUGAAAUGGUGAGUUUUGAUGAUGUCAUGCCUAAAAUAGGAUUAAUGAAAGUAUUAGUAAAAAGGUGUUCAAAUCUGGAGGUUAUGUUAAGCUGGUGGUAUGCUUUGACUGGGAAAGAUGACUUAGGUCAAAAUAAAUAUAUCCAGAUCUGGCACAAUCUUGUGUUUGCUAAUGGUUUUUGAGGAACGCAGGUUACCAUUCCUAGCCAAUGUUUUGAACCUUGAAACUUUGAUAGUUAAAAGAAUUGGAGGUAGACUAAUAUUACAAGGUAUCUUUUGAAGAUGGCUAAGUUGUGACGCUCUGCAUCUUUUUCUUGAGCAGAUGAUGCAAACUUGAUCUCAGAGAAGAUAGUGUUUAGAAACUGAGAUGUAGAUUUUCAACAUAUAACGGCUUUGUUCCCUACGUUCAACAACCUUAAUAAUGUUGAAAUGCCCAAUGUUUCUUGUGGUGGUACAGAGUUGUGAGUCUAUGACCUCAAGUUCCCUCUAAAUCAGAUAUGGAGCUAGCAUUUUAAGUUUAUGAGUUUUGCAUUGUAGAAAACACAGCUUAGUUGGUGCUUGACAAGUUAUUUAUACAUAUUAAGUGGAUUUUAAACGCAACUACACGGUUUUAGUCUAAGCUAUUGGGUUCUACCAAACCCAUAGGCAAAACUGUAGCUCUGCGUCUAGUUUAGAUCUUGUGAAGUUAGCAGUAUCCAACACUUUGUGUAUACAUACUUCAUGCUUCCUAAUCUUAGAGUUCGAACUGUCAUAUAUAUGUGAUUUCCUUCAAGACAAAUUCUUGAAACAAGAAAAUACUACUUCAGAAUGGAGUAUCCUGGACAUCGCCUAUUCUUGCGUAGAACAUUUGAUUUUUCAUACAUGUACUCAACUUAAGGUGGUCCAUAUCUUUUUGGGACAUUUCUACUUUGAAGGCCGUUGAUCAGGGCAAAACAAGUUGAAGAUGAAAAUUUCAGGCUUAACAUUGAACAUGAAAUGGAAAGUCUAUCAAUUUAAAAGGACUUUCUUUUAGCUACCGUCCCAAACAAAAGAGAUUAGCCUCUUGAUUGAUCGAUUAAUUGGAUCGAAGUACGAAGGGGCUGAUUGAAAUCUGAGAUCAGUCCAAGACUAAGGAUGAGCAACUAGCUGCUGCAGGAUUGGAUGUCUAUCUAUCUCACCACACUCUGCUACUCCUAUAAAGGCCGACGGAAGGAAUGUUCUGCUCAUAUUUCUUAAGGCUUGUUACUGCAGCGCUCAUUAACCCCUUCUGCUUCUUCCAUUAAAAAAAAAAAGGUAGUUACUUCAGCUACCAGAGUUGGACCUUAUUCACACUUGUAAGAUAUACUAUCAUUGCUCUUGAAGGUAGCUAGAUCAUGGGAAUCUUAGUAGUCCGAACUUUUCCUUGUUGGUGAGGGUUUAAUUUUCAACCUUGUAACUCUCUCUGUUCCCCUUCCCGCUGUGGUUUGACAUAAUUAGUUUUCUGGUGUUUUGAGAAGUGUCUACAAAUUGUUUUGAUGUUUUAACCAAGCAUGGAGAAAUUGCUUCAACAACAACAACAUACCCUGUGAAAUCCCAUUAAGUGGGGUCAGCGGAGGGUAGAAUGUACACAGACCUUACUACUACCUCGUGGAGGUAUAUAUCUGGUUGUCACCAAAGGGUGUUCCUGCCAUAUUCAUUUAGGGCCUUUAAUAUGGCUCAGUUUUCUUGUUGUCUGAUUCCAUUGGGAGCUCUAGCAUGAAUAUUUUUAGUGAUAUUGAGAGACAUAGUUGAUAAUGAAUAAGAUAUUGACGUUAACCUGUGUUGUUCUUCACAAGCAACAUUUUGUAAAUCUGCAGAUGGUGACAUCUCGUAUUGUACUUAAUGGUUCGUUUUA